GACGAACGCUGGCGGCGUGCCUAAUACAUGCAAGUAGAACGCUGAAGAGAGGAGCUUGCUCUUCUUGGAUGAGUUGCGAACGGGUGAGUAACGCGUAGGUAACCUGCCUUGUAGCGGGGGAUAACUAUUGGAAACGAUAGCUAAUACCGCAUAACAAUGGAUGACACAUGUCAUUUAUUUGAAAGGGGCAAUUGCUCCACUACAAGAUGGACCUGCGUUGUAUUAGCUAGUAGGUGAGGUAAUGGCUCACCUAGGCGACGAUACAUAGCCGACCUGAGAGGGUGAUCGGCCACACUGGGACUGAGACACGGCCCAGACUCCUACGGGAGGCAGCAGUAGGGAAUCUUCGGCAAUGGGGGCAACCCUGACCGAGCAACGCCGCGUGAGUGAAGAAGGUUUUCGGAUCGUAAAGCUCUGUUGUAAGUCAAGAACGGGUGUGAGAGUGGAAAGUUCACACUGUGACGGUAGCUUACCAGAAAGGGACGGCUAACUACGUGCCAGCAGCCGCGGUAAUACGUAGGUCCCGAGCGUUGUCCGGAUUUAUUGGGCGUAAAGCGAGCGCAGGCGGUUUGAUAAGUCUGAAGUUAAAGGCUGUGGCUCAACCAUAGUUCGCUUUGGAAACUGUCAAACUUGAGUGCAGAAGGGGAGAGUGGAAUUCCAUGUGUAGCGGUGAAAUGCGUAGAUAUAUGGAGGAACACCGGUGGCGAAAGCGGCUCUCUGGUCUGUAACUGACGCUGAGGCUCGAAAGCGUGGGGAGCGAACAGGAUUAGAUACCCUGGUAGUCCACGCCGUAAACGAUGAGUGCUAGGUGUUGGAUCCUUUCCGGGAUUCAGUGCCGCAGCUAACGCAUUAAGCACUCCGCCUGGGGAGUACGACCGCAAGGUUGAAACUCAAAGGAAUUGACGGGGGCCCGCACAAGCGGUGGAGCAUGUGGUUUAAUUCGAAGCAACGCGAAGAACCUUACCAGGUCUUGACAUCCCGAUGCUAUUUCUAGAGAUAGAAAGUUACUUCGGUACAUCGGUGACAGGUGGUGCAUGGUUGUCGUCAGCUCGUGUCGUGAGAUGUUGGGUUAAGUCCCGCAACGAGCGCAACCCCUAUUGUUAGUUGCCAUCAUUCAGUUGGGCACUCCAGCGAGACUGCCGGUAAUAAACCGGAGGAAGGUGGGGAUGACGUCAAAUCAUCAUGCCCCUUAUGACCUGGGCUACACACGUGCUACAAUGGUUGGUACAACGAGUUGCGAGUCGGUGACGGCGAGCUAAUCUCUUAAAGCCAAUCUCAGUUCGGAUUGUAGGCUGCAACUCGCCUACAUGAAGUCGGAAUCGCUAGUAAUCGCGGAUCAGCACGCCGCGGUGAAUACGUUCCCGGGCCU
rnacentral:rRNA from 1 species